UAGAGUUUGNACNUGGCUCAGGACGAACGCUNGNGGCGUGNUUAACACAUGCAAGUCGAGCGGUAAGNCCUUUNGGGGUACACGAGCGGCGAACGGGUGAGUAACACGUGGGUGAUCUGCCNUGCACUCGGGAUAAGCCUGGGAAANUGGGUCUAAUACCGGAUAUGACCUCNUAUCGCAUGNUGGGUGGUGGAAAGAUUUAUCGGUNCAGGAUGGGCCCGCGGCCUAUCAGCUUGUUGGUGGGGUAAUGGCNUCCAAGGCGANGACGGGUAGCCGACCUGAGAGGGUGACCGGCCACACUGNGANUGAGACACGGCCCAGACUCNUACGGGAGGCAGCAGUGGGGAAUAUUGCACAAUGGGNGAAAGCCUGAUGCAGNGNGCCGCGUGAGGGANGACGGCNUUCGGGUUGUAAACNUCUUUCAGCAGGGACGAAGCGCAAGUGACGGUACCUGCAGAAGAAGCACCGGCUAACUACGUGCCAGCAGCCGCGGUAAUACGUAGGGUGCAGCGUUGUNCGGAAUUACUGGGCGUAAAGAGUUCGUAGGCGGUUUGUCGNGUCGNUUGUGAAAACCAGCAGCUCAACUGCUGAGCUUGCAGNGCGAUACUGGGCAGACUUGAGUACUGCAGGGGAGAUGGAAUUCCUGGUGUAGCGGUGAAAUGCGCAGAUAUCAGGAGGAACACCGGUGGCGAAGGCGGNUCUCUGGGCNGUAACUGACGCUGAGGAACGAAAGCGUGGGUAGCGAACAGGAUUAGAUACCCUGUAGUCCACGCCGUAAACGGUGGGCGCUAGGUGUGGGUUCCUUCCACGGAAUCCGUGCCGUANCUAACGCAUUAAGCNCCCCNCCUGGGGAGUACGGCCGCAAGGCUAAAACUCAAAGGAAUUGACGGGGCCCGCACAAGCGGCGGANCNUGUGNAUUANUUCNAUGCNACGCNAANAACCUUACCUGGNUUUGACAUAUACCGGAAAGCUGCANANAUGUGGCCCCCCUUGUGGUCGGUAUACAGGUGGNGCAGGCUGUCGUCAGCUCGUGUCGUGAGAUGUUGGGUUAAGUCCCGCAACGAGCGCAACCCCUAUCUUAUGUUGCCAGCACGUUAUGGUGNGGACUCNNAAGAGACUGCCGGGGUCAACUCGGAGGAAGGGGGGACGACGUCAAGUCAUCAUGCCCCUUAUGUCCAGGGCUUCACACAUGCUACAAUGGCCAGUACAGAGGGCUGCGAGACCGUGAGGUGGAGCGAAUCCCUUAAAGCUGGUCUCAGUUCGGAUCGGGUCUGCAACUCGACCCCGUGAAGUCGGAGUCGCUAGUAAUCNCAGAUCAUCAACGCUGCGGUGAAUACGUUCCCGGGCCUUGUACACACCGCCCGUCACGUCAUGAAAGUCNGUAACACCCGAAGCCGUGGCUUAACCCCUUGUGGGAGGGAGCCGUCGAGGUGGGAUCGGCGAUUGGACGAAGUCGUAACAAGGUAACCNUAA
rnacentral:rRNA from 1 species